rnacentral:rRNA from 1 species
GACGAACGCUGGCGGCGUGCUUAACACAUGCAAGUCGAACGGAAAGGCCCUGCUUUUGUGGGGUUCUCGAUUGGCGAACGGGUGAGUAACACGUGAGUAACCUGCCCUUGACUUUGGGAUAACUUCAGGAAACUGGGGCUAAUACCGGAUAGGAUCUCCUGCUGCAUGUUGGGGGUUGGAAAGUUUCGGCGGUUGGGGCUGGACUCGCGGCUUAUCAGCUUGUUUGUGUGGUAGUGGCUUACCAAGGCUUUGACGGGUAGCCGGCCUGAGAGGGUGACCGGCCACAUGGGGACUGAGAUACGGCCCAGACUCCUACGGGAGGCAGCAGUGGGGAAUAUUGCACAAUGGGGGGACGCCUGAUGCAGCAACGCCGCGUGCGGGAUGACGGCCUUCGGGUUGUAAACCGCUUUCGCAUGUGACGAAGCGUGAGUGACGGUAAUGGGUAAAGAAGCACCGGCUAACUACGUG